CCCUACGGGGCGCAGCAGUGGGGGAUAUUGCACAAUGGGGGGAACCCUGAUGCAGCGACGCCGCGUGGGUGAAGGAGUAUUUCGGUAUGUAAAGCCCUAUCGGCAGGGAAGAAGAAAGACGGUACCUGACUAAGAAGCCCCGGCUAACUACGUGCCAGCAGCCGCGGUAAUACGUAGGGGGCGAGCGUUAUCCGGAUUCACUGGGUGUAAAGGGAGCGUAGACGGCCAAGCAAGCCAGGGGGGAAAGCCCGGGGCCCAACCCCGGGACUGCCCUUGGAACUGCAUGGCUGG
rnacentral:rRNA from 1 species